CAUCCACCAUGGUCGCCGCCAUCAAGGGCUUCUUCACGGAGAUGUGGAGGACGCCAUGGACCUGCAGCUCCAAGGUCAACAGGGAGGAACCCUAGCCAUAAGCACCUCCUCGGAUGACGCCUCUGCUACACCAAGAUAGAGAUAUAUAUGAUAUCUACAUGGCUGCUAUGCUACUUUUUUUGUGUGAUGAAUCAUUGUGAGUUUCGAAGAAACUUCCAAUGUUACCUCCGCCAAGUUUGCCGGCAGAAGAAGCACAUCCAUUGAGCCGUUCAAUGUCGCCUGCGGUGGCUACACCAGAGGUAUGUAUCCCCUUGAAAGCUAAUCAGUUGAUAGAAAUAGAAGCCCCUAUUUCAGUUUAUUGUUUCUGAAUUGGUGCUACUUCUGAUGGCUCUUGUUUCAGUUUAUUGUUUCUGAAUUUAUACUUUGAAUUUAGUAGAUAGAAGCCCCUGAAAUUUGACCCAUCUAUGUUAUGUCACAUCCAACAGAUAAAAU